rnacentral:rRNA from 1 species
GGUCAAGUGAAGAAGCGCAUACGGUGGAUGCCUUGGCAGUCAGAGGCGAUGAAAGACGUGGUAGCCUGCGAAAAGCUUCGGGGAGUCGGCAAACAGACUGUGAUCCGGAGAUAUCUGAAUGGGGGAACCCAGCCAUCAUAAGAUGGUUAUCUUGUACUGAAUACAUAGGUGCAAGAGGCGAACCAGGGGAACUGAAACAUCUAAGUACCCUGAGGAAAAGAAAUCAACCGAGAUUCCCUUAGUAGUGGCGAGCGAACGGGGACCAGCCCUUAAGUUGUAUUGAGAUUAGCGGAACGUUCUGGAAAGGACGGCCAUAGUGGGUGAUAGCCCUGUACGCGAAAAUCCCUUUGCAAUGAAAUCGAGUAGGACGGGGCACGAGAAACCUUGUCUGAAUAUGGGGGGACCAUCCUCCAAGGCUAAAUACUACUGACUGACCGAUAGUGAACCAGUACCGUGAGGGAAAGGCGAAAAGAACCGCGGAGAGCGGAGUGAAAUAGAUCCUGAAACCGUAUGCGUACAAGCAGUGGGAGCCCACUUUGUUGGGUGACUGCGUACCUUUUGUAUAAUGGGUCAGCGACUUAUUUUCAGUGGCGAGCUUAACCGAAUAGGGGAGGCGUAGCGAAAGCGAGUCUUAAUAGGGCGUCUAGUCGCUGGGAAUAGACCCGAAACCGGGCGAUCUAUCCAUGGGCAGGUUGAAGGUUGGGUAACACUAACUGGAGGACCGAACCGACUACCGUUGAAAAGUUAGCGGAUGACCUGUGGAUCGGAGUGAAAGGCUAAUCAAGCUCGGAGAUAGCUGGUUCUCCUCGAAAGCUAUUUAGGUAGCGCCUCAUGUAUCACUGUAGGGGGUAGAGCACUGUUUCGGCUAGGGGGUCAUCCCGACUUACCAAACCGAUGCAAACUCCGAAUACCUACAAGUGCCGAGCAUGGGAGACACACGGCGGGUGCUAACGUCCGUCGUGAAAGGGAAACAACCCAGACCGUCAGCUAAGGUCCCAAAGUCAUGGUUAAGUGGGAAACGAUGUGGGAAGGCUUAGACAGCUAGGAGGUUGGCUUAGAAGCAGCCACCCUUUAAAGAAAGCGUAAUAGCUCACUAGUCGAGUCGGCCUGCGCGGAAGAUGUAACGGGGCUCAAACCAUGCACCGAAGCUACGGGUAUCAUCUUUGAUGAUGCGGUAGAGGAGCGUUCUGUAAGCCUGUGAAGGUGAGUUGAGAAGCUUGCUGGAGGUAUCAGAAGUGCGAAUGCUGACAUGAGUAACGACAAUGGGUGUGAAAAACACCCACGCCGAAAGACCAAGGUUUCCUGCGCAACGUUAAUCGACGCAGGGUUAGUCGGUCCCUAAGGCGAGGCUGAAAAGCGUAGUCGAUGGAAAACAGGUUAAUAUUCCUGUACUUCUGGUUAUUGCGAUGGAGGGACGGAGAAGGCUAGGCCAGCCUGGCGUUGGUUGUCCAGGUUUAAGGUGGUAGGCUGAGAUCUUAGGUAAAUCCGGGAUCUUAAGGCCGAGAGCUGAUGACGAGUGUUCUUUUAGAACACGAAGUGGUUGAUGCCAUGCUUCCAAGAAAAGCUUCUAAGCUUCAGGUAACCAGGAACCGUACCCCAAACCGACACAGGUGGUUGGGUAGAGAAUACCAAGGCGCUUGAGAGAACUCGGGUGAAGGAACUAGGCAAAAUGGCACCGUAACUUCGGGAGAAGGUGCGCCGGUGGAGGUGAAGCAUUUACUGCGUAAGCCCCUGCCGGUCGAAGAUACCAGGCCGCUGCGACUGUUUAUUAAAAACACAGCACUCUGCAAACACGAAAGUGGACGUAUAGGGUGUGACGCCUGCCCGGUGCCGGAAGGUUAAUUGAUGGGGUUAGCGCAAGCGAAGCUCUUGAUCGAAGCCCCGGUAAACGGCGGCCGUAACUAUAACGGUCCUAAGGUAGCGAAAUUCCUUGUCGGGUAAGUUCCGACCUGCACGAAUGGCGUAACGAUGGCGGCGCUGUCUCCACCCGAGACUCAGUGAAAUUGAAAUCGCUGUGAAGAUGCAGUGUAUCCGCGGCUAGACGGAAAGACCCCGUGAACCUUUACUAUAGCUUUGCACUGGACUUUGAAUUUGCUUGUGUAGGAUAGGUGGGAGGCUUUGAAGCGUGGACGCCAGUCUGCGUGGAGCCAACCUUGAAAUACCACCCUGGCAACUUUGAGGUUCUAACUCAGGUCCGUUAUCCGGAUCGAGGACAGUGUAUGGUGGGUAGUUUGACUGGGGCGGUCUCCUCCUAAAGAGUAACGGAGGAGUACGAAGGUGCGCUCAGACCGGUCGGAAAUCGGUCGUAGAGUAUAAAGGCAAAAGCGCGCUUGACUGCGAGACAGACACGUCGAGCAGGUACGAAAGUAGGUCUUAGUGAUCCGGUGGUUCUGUAUGGAAGGGCCAUCGCUCAACGGAUAAAAGGUACUCCGGGGAUAACAGGCUGAUACCGCCCAAGAGUUCAUAUCGACGGCGGUGUUUGGCACCUCGAUGUCGGCUCAUCACAUCCUGGGGCUGAAGCCGGUCCCAAGGGUAUGGCUGUUCGCCAUUUAAAGUGGUACGCGAGCUGGGUUUAGAACGUCGUGAGACAGUUCGGUCCCUAUCUGCCGUGGACGUUUGAGAUUUGAGAGGGGCUGCUCCUAGUACGAGAGGACCGGAGUGGACGAACCUCUGGUGUUCCGGUUGUCACGCCAGUGGCAUUGCCGGGUAGCUAUGUUCGGAAAAGAUAACCGCUGAAAGCAUCUAAGCGGGAAACUUGCCUCAAGAUGAGAUCUCACUGGAACCUUGAGUUCCCUAAAGGGCCGUCGAAGACUACGACGUUGAUAGGUUGGGUGUGUAAGCGCUGUGAGGCGUUGAGCUAACCAAUACUAAUUGCCCGUGAGGCUUGACCAU